UACGUAGGGUGCAAGCGUUAAUCGGAAUUACUGGGCGUAAAGCGCACGUAGGCGGCUUUGUAAGUUAGAGGUGAAAGCCCGGGGCUCAACCCCGGAAUUGCCUUUAAGACUGCAUCGCUUGAAUCCGGGAGAGGUGAGUGGAAUUCCGAGUGUAGAGGUGAAAUUCGUAGAUAUUCGGAAGAACACCAGUGGCGAAGGCGGCUCACUGGACCGGGUAAUUGACGCUGAGGUGCGAAAGCGUGGGGAGCAAACAGG
rnacentral:rRNA from 1 species